UACGUAGGGUCCGAGCGUUGUCCGGAUUUAUUGGGCGUAAAGAGCUCGUAGGCUGUUCGAUAAGUCGGGUGUGAAACCUCCAGGCUCAACCUGGAGACGCCACCCGAUACUGUCAUGACUAGAGUCCGGUAGGGGAGCGUGGAAUUCCUGGUGUAGCGGUGAAAUGCGCAGAUAUCAGGAGGAACACCGGUGGCGAAGGCGGUUCUCUGGGCCUGUACUGACGCUGAGGAACGAAAGCGUGGGGAGCGAACAGG
rnacentral:rRNA from 1 species